CACAGCCAUUUGUGGGAUUUUACUGCACGCUAACAGAGCAUCCAGCUCCUGGCUAUCAAUGCGUAAGGCUCUAGGGACCAGGUAACACGUGCAAAAUAAACUGCUACGGCAUUGAAGCAGAGAUAUCAGUCAUUGCCACUUUCAGCUCUUGUUGCUAAGUGGUCCCAAAUGGCACCAUAGUUCUUGCAUGAAUCCACUGGAAGAGUCACUUCUGGGGAGGAAUGGCUCUGGGAACUGCACAGCUCCCAGCACACAUAGGUUGCGUUUGUUGGGAGCAAUGCAUUGUGAGAACACCAAUGUGAUGUCACCUCCUCCUUCAUCAGUUGUGAUGUUCCAGGCCCACCGCAGCCAUCGCGUGCAUCAGGGAGAUCUGUUCGUUGGCUUCAGCAUGGAUACAGGGAGAAGGAAAACACCAGGAGAGCAGAGCUCUCCUUCUAAAGAACCUCGGCAGUUUAACAGUCCAGAAGUGCUGCCAGUCAGCAUGAGAGGGGACAGAAUGUCUUGCACAAGAUGCAGCAGAUGAAAUUCACCUCGGGGUCGAUACCGCUGUUGUUUUGAAUGACUGAAAGUGGAGAAAAACACAAACAUAGAAGAAGAUUUAAAUUGAACUCAGCUUGCUGAAUGGCAUGGAGGAUUCAUCAAGGCCUUUAAAUAAUUCUUCUAAAGCCUCUUAUCUUCCCCCAUCUCCUUCUUGGGCUCAUGCAUCCCCUGCUCCUCUGUGCUGCUCACCAGGAGCUGGUGCAGCCAGAUGUGAUGCUGUGAUUCUCAGCUGGCUCUUCCUCAGCGACUGGCUGGACUUCAGGUGGUGUAUUUCUCGGCUGCUAUUCAACCACAAUCAGCAAGACGUUCUUCUUCAAGACAUGAUUUAGAUCAAGUAAUCUUUGUUUUCAGUAGUGCUGCAUCAUAAAAUUAGGUAAUUACUUUUGUAAAUCUGUCAGGGCGCUGAGUAAUUAUCUAAUUUAGAACGUUUAAAAUAAAAGACAGGAAAAUUCCA
rnacentral:lncRNA from 1 species